AAAGAGAAAGAAGCAGAUGAAAUAUUCCCCAAGAAAAUUAGUGACCACAAUGAACUGAGUCAUCACCGACUAUGAAAAUGUCCAGAAGAGAUUCACCAAGUUUGAAUUCAU